rnacentral:lncRNA from 1 species
AAAGGUAUUCAGAAAAGUUGAUCAAGGUGAGCAGAAGAGCUCUUUUUACAUGGUGAGGAAAUGCCCUUAAGUUUAGGUCUCAUUUAGAGCAAAAUCCAAAGUCCCCAGUACAUCAUGACCCAACUUUGUUUCAUAGCAGCAAGUAUGUUGAAAAUAAAGUUGCUUUAUGAAAUAGAGGCUAGAAUACUGUUAGAUUGGACACAAUAGUUGUAAAAUAGCAGGCUGUAGGGCCACUCUUGCGUUCUGAGAUUAUUUCUUAGGAAACAGUCUCCUUUAUAUACUCUUGGCUGAACUUUAAGGGGAUUAGAAGGCUCUGCUCUUGGCCGCUUUCCUCCUUUAUUCCUUGCAGCCUUUCUGUACUUAACUGUCACCCGUCUACACCACAUCAGCUGGGACAUAUGAGAAUGUAGGGCUUUGUUUCUUUUUUUUCUCUCUUAGCUGUAUGAAUUCUAGAUUAGGCCUAUGGACAC